AGCAAUCUUCAUCAGCAAUGUCCCAUGCCUCUGAACAGCCUGGUGCUCAAACUUGGACGCGGACUGAAAAUAAUGUUGUUUCCCGCGGGGGCGAGCGUUCCGGUCACCGAAAGCGAGCCUCGGGACUCGUGUUUGAGUUUGUAAAAUUGUUUUAAGGACUCCGAAUAACUCAUCGGCUUGUUUUUGGACUCUUGCUGAUAAUGGUAAGCAGUAGCUGAGUGUUUUGAUCCCGGUCAGUGACAGCCUGCAGACGGCAGGGAGAGCUGUGCGGCGAUCACGCUGUACUUGAUUAUGAGCGCUCGCAAGAAGUGAAGAGAAUCUGGGAGCUGAUUUCUUGCUGGGACGACAAUACUUUUAACACAGUGUGUGGCAGAUCAAAGCCAGAGGAGCCAUGGAGGCCUCACAGGACCUCAGCGAACAGAUGGUAAAGAAAUCACACAGUGAAUCUCAUGUUCCAGACCCUUCAGACGUCAGGUCUAUGGAAAUGCAGGACCUAGCCAGUCCUCAUAACCGAGUGGGAGGUGGAGAUUCGACAGGCUCCAAGCUGGACAAGAACAACCUUGGCAGCCCAUCUAUCACCACCAAUGGAACAGGAGGUGAAAGCAUGACCGUUCUUAACACGGCUGAUUGGCUGUUGGGCUGCAGCAGCCCAUCCCCUGCCACAGGCUCCAAGGAAUAUGUGAAAACAGAGCCGUUGAACAACAGCGAUACAGUUACUACGACAGGGGACACAGCCCUGGAUACAUACGCAGGCUCAGUAAUCACCAGCAGCGGGUACAGCCCUCGUUCAGCCCACCAGUACUCCCCCCCUCUCUACCCAUCCAAGCCCUACCCUCACAUCCUCUCCACGCCGGCAGCUCCUUCCAUGCCGACGUACACCGGCCAACCUCAGUUCAGCAGCAUGCAGCAAUCAACCGUCUAUACUGCUUAUUCUCAGACAGGCCAGGCCUACGGAUUGUCUACCUAUGACCUUGGUGUGAUGCUUCCUGGCAUAAAAACAGAAAGCGGCCUAGCCCAGAGUCAGUCUCCUCUGCAGACAGGCCUCAGCUACAGCCCCGGCUUUACCACACCUCAGCCUGGACAGACUGCCUACUCCCCCUAUCCAAUGCCAGGUUCCAGUUUCACUCCUUCCUCAGGCCUCUACACCACCAACAACUCUGUGUCCAACCCCGCCAACUACACUGCCACACAGCAGGAUUAUCCCUCAUAUACGACGUUUGGCCAAAACCAGUACGCUCAGUAUUAUUCCACCUCCCCUUACGGGACGUACAUGACCUCCAACAACGUGGAUGGCACCGGUUCCACAGCAGCCUACCAGCUGCAAGAUCCCACCCCCGCCAUAACCGGACAGGCCGCUGAACUUCACCCAGGGGACUUUGAUACAGUGCAGAGCCCUUCCACACCCAUCAAAGAGCUGGAUGACAGAGCCUGCCGGAGUGGGGGGUCUAAGUCUCGGGGCAGGGGCCGCAAGAACAACCCCUCCCCUCCUCCCGAUAGUGACCUGGAGAGGGUGUUUGUUUGGGAUCUGGAUGAGACGAUUAUUGUCUUCCAUUCUCUGCUCACAGGCUCCUAUGCACAAAAAUAUGGCAAGGACCCUCCCAUGGCGGUAACACUGGGUCUGAGGAUGGAAGAGAUGAUCUUCAACUUGGCUGACACACACUUAUUUUUUAAUGACCUGGAGGAAUGUGAUCAGGUGCAUAUUGAUGAUGUGUCAUCAGAUGACAAUGGCCAGGACUUAAGUACUUACAGUUUUGCAACUGAUGGCUUCCAUGCAGCUGCAACCAGCGCAAACCUGUGCCUGGCUACGGGCGUCCGCGGCGGAGUCGACUGGAUGAGGAAACUGGCCUUCCGCUACCGACGAGUCAAAGAGUUGUAUAGCACAUACAAAAACAAUGUGGGGGGUCUGCUGGGUCCUGCUAAGAGAGAUGCCUGGCUGCAGCUCAGAGCUGAGGUGGAAGCUCUGACUGACUCCUGGCUCACCCACGCACUCAAGUCCCUGUCCAUAAUCAGCUCCAGGAGUAACUGUGUAAAUGUGUUGGUGACCACAACACAGCUCAUACCAGCGCUGGCCAAAGUUCUCUUAUAUAGUCUGGGAUCUGUUUUUCCUAUUGAGAACAUUUACAGUGCAACAAAAAUAGGCAAAGAGAGCUGUUUUGAGCGUAUAGUCUCCCGCUUUGGCACAAACAUUACAUAUGUUGUGAUUGGCGAUGGAAAGGAUGAAGAGCAUGCCGCCAGCCAGGAAAAGAGAGUUGCUUUGAACGCAUAAUGCAAAGGUUUGGCAGGAAAGUAGUGUAUGUUGUAAUUGGGGACGGUGUGGAAGAGGAACAGGCGGCCAAAAAGCACAACAUGCCUUUCUGGAGGAUAUCAAGUCACUCUGACCUGCUGGCAUUACACCAAGCACUGGAGUUUGAGUACCUGUAACUGUUAUAGCAAUAUGGACUCAUUGCAUUGUCACAUGGACACGGUCAGCCAGGCAGCCCCUUUCUUUUGUAUAACUAUUUAAGAACACACGACACUGCAAGUGUUUCUGUGAUUACUUUCGUUUCCUGUCUUGUUUUUUGAAUGUCUGGAUUUACAAACUCGUAAUGGUCUUAAGAGGUUAAAGGAGGUAAAGAAGAGGAAAGUGGGAUUAGGAAAAGGCUAUCCGACAUCCUUGCUCAGCCCCUCUGGUCCUGAUGCUGGGGACAGACCUCUGAAAAUCCAGUCUGCUGUUCUUGCAGCUGUAGCAGGCUAAAACUGUCAAGGCUUAAGACCUUCCUUGGACUGGGAGGAUAUUUUUUUCCCUUGAGAUCUAGUUUGUGGUCAGAGCACCCAGGUGGAAAUGAGGACUUGCGGCAUCACUUGGGGGGUAAAGAUCAUUGGCUAUGCAUUAAUUUGAAGGCUUCUCUGUACAGACCAUAUCAUGUAUACUGGGAUAACAGCUUUUUUUGUAAGGGUUUUGUUCCCGGUGGUAUAAUAAUCACGACAAAAGAAUGCAGUCUGUGGUAGAAAUUUGUGUAAAUUAUUUACAAUAAACUUACAUGACAGUGGUAGGGUUUUGGGGUUGUUUUUCUUUUUGGUCAAAUAAUUGGAAAUUUUGAGGCUCUUUUGUUUUUUCCUUCUGGUUUUUGUAUUUUGUUUUCUUUCUGGUGGGUGGGGCUUGAAGAUGUGCGUCAUGAUGUGUUGUGCCUUAAUGUGUUUGAAUGUCUUUUCUUUAUUCAGAAAUGUCUAUGUAUGUAGAUAUAAAGGAGAAAACUUAUCCACAUGACCUAUGCAUCUUCUUUCAUAAAAGAAACAAGAUCGUUAACACAACCUGUGAUACUCUGAAACUAAACUCACAAAAUGACAGGGCUAUAAAAAGAAGUAAGAGCAAUCUGUUAGUGAGCACACUGAGCCUAAAGCUAGAGUUUAACAUCCCUAUUGUGCUCUACCUGAAUAGAUUGCCAUUGAACCUUAUGGCAAUCUGUCCAUUUAAACUCCUCUUAAGGUUAUUUUCAUGGUUUUUGCUUAAAAAAAAACAUGAAACCCCCCCUAAAAACCACACACCACACAGGUACCAUUUCCUAUUCUGCUAAUGUACUGAGAGAGAUGACAAACAAUAGAAUAUUUAGAUUUUUUUUCUAAAUUCAGAAUAAUAACUGAUUCAAUAACUGUCCCAUAUUCAAUAUCCAUUAUAUGUACAUUGAAGAAUUCUAAGCCUGUUAAUUUGAUUAUGGUUUAUUUAUAGCUCAUAAAAAGCAUCAGAAUACUUGAUUUCAAGCAGUAUAAACACUCUUUCUUUUGGUCUGGUUAAGUACCCACAACCUUAAGGAAGACUGCUGACUUAGUUCUCCGGGUCAUGAUCAUUAACACCUUCCAUAAGGAGGGUAAGCCACAGAAAGUCACUGUUGAAAGGCUGGUUGUUCACAGCGCUGUAUCAACGCAUAUUCAUGGAAAGCUGACUGGAAAGGAAAGUUGUCGUAGGAAAAGGUGCACAAGCAAUGGGGAUGCCCGCUGCCUUGAGGGCAUUGUCAACAACUUGGGCGAGCAUCACAAGGAGUGGACCGAGGCUGGUGUCAGUGCAGGAGCCACCAGAUGGAAAGAGGCUACAAAUGUCACAUUCCUCAUGUCAAACCACUGCUGAACCAGAAAUGCGAGGAGCAUCUUACCUGAGCUGAGGAGGAAAAGAAGUGGACUGCUGGUUGGCGGUCUCAAGUCAUCUUUUCAGAUUAAAGUAAAUUUGGGAUUUUUGUUUGAAAAUUAAGGUCCCCGAGUCUGGAGGAAGAGUGGAGAUGCACCCAGUCAAGUUUUUUCAGUCUGAUGAUCAACUCAGCAGGGCCACAAACUGAUGCAGUAAUUUGUGGCAAAGGAGACUCCAUUGAGUUCCAUUUAAAUGAAGCUGGGCACUGUAUUAUAAAUUAAUGAUCGUAGGAAAUAUUCUAAUUAUCAGGCUUGAUGUAUGAUUUCCUUGAGUUAUAACCUAUUAUAAUUAAACCCAAAAUAAAAAGGCUUGAAAUACUUCAAGUCAUACUUGAUAAAUGAAUUAAAUUAUGCAACAACCUCAUGUUAGUCUGGCUUUUUGAUGUACUCGAUUGUAACCUGUAUGCAAACCUGCCAAGCUGCACAAGGUAAAUGGUAGGCUUCUCAUGCUCAAGGAUUUUACAUGCAUCAGAUUAUGUUUAAAAAAAAAUACAGAAGCGCUGUUAUUAGACUUGGUUUACAUGUCAUUUUUUGGCAUUAGUACUAUAGCAAAUAGAACAAUCUAGAAAACCAAUUACUUCAAUGGUAUUCAUCUCAAACAUUUAAUUUCUCUCCAAUUAGGUAAAAGUUAUUCCUUUACAUUCUUUCUUGGAUAAUGUUCCAUCUAAGUGCAUUCAUUUGAUGCUUGUGUUAGUUUUAACAUUUCAAAGCUCUAAUGUCCAAUGUAAUACAUUGGGAGGCAUUCAGUGUUAAACUACAACCAAUAGAACAACAAUUUACAUAAGUUUUUAAAGGACAGACAUCCUGCUUGAAAAGAAGCCGUUUCAACUCAUCCAGGAGGCUUUAGUUAAAAAAACUAAAACAACAAAAAACAAAAAAAAAACAAAAAAAAAAAAACAACCCCAAACCUCCAGGCUUCAACCAAAAGAUAAGUUUUGAAAGCUUUAACAAUGUUCAUUAUCUGAAUGGCUUUUUAGGUUUAGUCAAACCAGCUAACACAGACAGCUAUACUACAAAGGGCCUAAAUCAUAGUAAGUGACCUUAAGUUAAGGUCACCGGGAUUUGAACUUUUAUUAGAUGCACCUAUGGUGUGAAUUUCAAAACUGCGCACUGCACGGUUCAAGUUUAACUUGUUCACACUCACAAAUUUGGGGAUCCAUGCUGCUUGA